rnacentral:rRNA from 2 species
GCCUAGGAAUCUGCCUGGUAGUGGGGGACAACGUUUCGAAAGGAACGCUAAUACCGCAUACGUCCUACGGGAGAAAGUGGGGGAUCUUCGGACCUCACGCUAUCAGAUGAGCCUAGGUCGGAUUAGCUAGUUGGUGAGGUAAAGGCUCACCAAGGCGACGAUCCGUAACUGGUCUGAGAGGAUGAUCAGUCACACUGGAACUGAGACACGGUCCAGACUCCUACGGGAGGCAGCAGUGGGGAAUAUUGGACAAUGGGCGAAAGCCUGAUCCAGCCAUGCCGCGUGUGUGAAGAAGGUCUUCGGAUUGUAAAGCACUUUAAGUUGGGAGGAAGGGCAGUAAGUUAAUACCUUGCUGUUUUGACGUUACCAACAGAAUAAGCACCGGCUAACUUCGUGCCAGCAGCCGCGGUAAUACGAAGGGUGCAAGCGUUAAUCGGAAUUACUGGGCGUAAAGCGCGCGUAGGUGGUUCGUUAAGUUGGAUGUGAAAGCCCCGGGCUCAACCUGGGAACUGCAUCCAAAACUGGCGAGCUAGAGUAUGGCAGAGGGUGGUGGAAUUUCCUGUGUAGCGGUGAAAUGCGUAGAUAUAGGAAGGAACACCAGUGGCGAAGGCGACCACCUGGGCUAAUACUGACACUGAGGUGCGAAAGCGUGGGGAGCAAAACAGGAUUAGAUACCCUGGUAGUCCACGCCGUAAACGAUGUCGACUA